AGUUGCCACUCUCUCUCUCUCACUCUCUCUCUCAUGCAUACGGACAUGCAAAUGCAUACAUGCAUGAAUUGUUGCCUUUUAGUUAUUGUGGCAUGGUUCUGGUCCCCUUGAUGCUUGCUUACCAUUUCAGAUUAAGCAUGACCUUGCUGAUGCUGACUACAAAAGAUAGUUUCUAAACUUUUACAUCUAUGAUGAUUUUCAAAGAAUCCUGUUUUAGUUCUUGAGCAUUUUGUUGUCACUUCUUGUCAGAUUGAACUUUAUUUUUUCUAAGACAAUUUUUCACUUUGUGUGCAUGUGCAGUGUGGAUGGUGGAAGACCAAGUAGUGCAAGUAUCUUUGUUGGUGGCUUUGUCUUGGGUGGAAUUGUUGUUGGAGCACUAGGUUGUAUAUAUGCACCCCAGAUCAGCAAGGCACUGGCAGGAGCAGACAGGAAAGAUUUGAUGAAAAAGCUG